UAGAUAGACGAUCUCUGUAGCUUUAAAUUUAUUGUAAUAACUUCUCAAAUUUCUUUUUUAGCCCUGGAGAGUUGCUGUAGAAGAAGGGGGAAAGGAAGACUCUGCUGGAGGAGAUCAGUAGCACUGGACACAAUGGAAGUUCAGGUUUCAAAAUGCUGACUGUGCAAGUCCUCUCUGGGAGCAGAUUUCAGAACAAAAGUCAUCUAUAAAAGCACGUAAGUCUUUUCUUUUUCUGGUCAGAGUUCAAAAGUUUAUAACUUUCCUAUUUUUAUUGAUACUCUAAGUUUACUUCACUGGAGUAUUUACUGUUAAAAGUGCACUUUACUCUGUUAAGAUAAUUUUGUUUCUACGUUCAGCCCCUUUUGCU
rnacentral:lncRNA from 1 species